rnacentral:rRNA from 1 species
CGAGGGUGCAAGCGUUAAUCGGAAUUACUGGGCGUAAAGCGAGUGUAGGCGGUUACUUAAGUCGGAUGUGAAAGCCCUGGGCUCAACCUGGGAAUGGCAUUCGAUACUGGGUAACUAGAGUUUGGUAGAGGUAAGUGGAAUUCCGGGUGUAGCGGUGAAAUGCGUAGAUAUCCGGAGGAACAUCAGUGGCGAAGGCGGCUUACUGGACCAAAACUGACGCUGAGGCUCGAAAGCGUGGGGAGCAAACAGGAUUAGAUACCCGAGUAGUCC